UACAAAAUGGAAGCAAGAACUAACGUCUGCCAACUCUGUGGUGUUGAGAUAGGCCACUGGGAGUUCUACUUGCAUGAUUUUACUCUGACAUGUCCUGAUUGAGGAGCCUGAAGAUAUCCACACUGAGCAUUGAUCUGUGCAUCAGUAAGUCUGGAUCUAAAGAGGAAGAUCCACACUGGAGCACAGGUCUUCUACAAUGUAGUCAUCGUGCCCUGUGUGGGGGCCACCAUGGGAUGGGCCCCAAGAACAUGGUGUGAACAACAACAGCAAAAAUGGUCUUGACCUCAGAGAGUUCAGGUCUACUCUGAUGGGAAAGAAAAUAUUACACAGUGCCCACCUUUCCGAUGGAGCUGAAGGAGACGGAGUCAGAGGGACUUAAAACAGUAACAACAACAACAAAGUGACAUGGAAUCCAUGAAAGGGAGUGUGACAGAUAAGCAACU
rnacentral:lncRNA from 1 species